rnacentral:lncRNA from 10 species
GGGACUUCAAGGACGUGACGAAGAAGGUCUGCUAGAGCAGAGGAAGUGAAAUUUACCAGAUGAACCGGGACCCCAGGACGAGUCUGUCAGCAGGGAAUAUAAGCUCGAGCUGAGCUUUUGAUUGCUGUCCACCACUGCUAUUUGCCGCCAUUGCAGACCUGCCACUGACUUUCAUCCCUCCAGAUCCAGCAAGGUGUCCACUGUGCUCCUGAUCCAGCAAGGCACCCAUUGCUGCUCCUAAUCAGGCUAAAGGCUUGCCAUUGUUCCUGCAUGGCUAAGUUCCUGGGUUCAUUCUAAUCAAGCUGAACAGUAGUCACUGGGUUCCAUGGUUCUCUUCCAUGACCCAUGGCUUCCAAUAGAACUAUAACACUCACCUCAUGGCCCAAGAUUCCAUUCCUUGGAAUCCGUGAAGCCAAGAACCCCAGGUCAGAGAACAUAAGGCUUGCUACCAUCUUGGAAGUGGCCUGCUGCCAUUUUGGAAGUGGCCUGCCACCAUCUUGGGAGCUCUGGGAGCAAGGACCCCCCCCCCCCCGGCAACAUUUUGGUGACCAUGAAGCGACCUCCAAAGUGAAUGCUGCCAUCUCCAUGAAUAAUGCCCAUGUUAGCCAGCUGGAAAAUAAGAUACCAUGAGGAGGAGAAGCAAGGUGCCGCUGUUGACAGGCCCAGAAGAAGAAACUCACCCCCAGAAGCAGAGCUGUCUAGUCAACAAGCAGCUGAUGAUACAUGUCUGAAGGAGCUCAGCUGAGACUGGAAGAAUGGCCCCACUCAGCUCGGCCUAAAUGGCUGAUCAUUUCAAUUAUGAACUAAUAAGUUUUGGAUGAUUUGUUAUGCUGCAAUAGCUAACUAAUACAUGCACCCAGUACAGAUAGGUUGCCAGGAUUCAGAGACAGGUUGACUACCAGUUGGCUUCUAACAGUGGACACCCUCUAG